rnacentral:rRNA from 1 species
GUCUCUUCGGGGAUGAUUAAACCGGCGCACGGGUCCGUAACACGUGAGUGACCUGCCUUUUAGACUGGAACAACUUACCGAAAGGUGAGCUAAUGCCGGAUGAGUUAUAUAAGUGCAUGUUUAUAUAGGAAAAGUUGGGGAGACCUGACGCUGAAAGAUGGACUCGCGUCCCAUUAGCUAGUUGGUAGGGUAAUGGCCUACCAAGGCGACGAUGGGUAGCCGGCCUGAGAGGGUGGCCGGCCACACUGGGACUGAGACACGGCCCAGACUCCUACGGGAGGCAGCAGUGGGGAAUUUUGCGCAAUGCUCGUAAGAGUGACGCAGCGACGCCGCGUGAAUGACGAAGGCCUUCGGGUCGUAAAGUUCUUUCGACAGGGAAGAAAAUGCCUAUAAGUAACUGUGUAUGUAUUGACGGUACCUGUAUAAGCAGCCCCGGCUAACUCCGUGCCAGCAGCCGCGGUAAUACGGAGGGGGCGAGCGUUGUUCGGAGUGACUGGGCGUAAAGAGCACGUAGGCGGUGUUGUAAGUCAUUAGUCAAAGACUAGAGCUCAACUUUAGUAAGGCUAGUGAUACUAUAAUACUAGAGUAUCAGAGAGGAUUGCAGAAUUCCUGGUGUAGCGGUGAAAUGCGUAGAUAUCAGGAGGAAUACCGUUAGCGAAGGCGGCAAUCUGGCUGGAAACUGACGCUGAGGUGCGAAAGCGUGGGU